AGACUGGCGACGCAAAAGGCCGUGUGAAGACAUGUGAAACCUUGCUGCAGAGACUGUUCACAACCAGCCUUGUGUUGAUUGUGACUGUCAUGGGAGCAGGUUUAUGAAUGCCUUUUGGAGGCGGAGUCCUCUCGGAUGAGGUAAGAAUACAAACCCUCUCACAAGAUUCCUAGUGACUUAACAUGGGUUCAGUGAUGUCUUAAAUGUCUGACCUGAAUUUUAAUGUGGAUUUUAUGUUACUGAGUAACCCAGCAACUGUAAUCUUAAUCAACCAGUCACUGACUUGUAAUAAGGUAUUUCAUUUCUUUGCCCAUUCUCCAGGAAGAGUCGGCUCCGUAGACUGACUUGGUAAGCAUUUCAUAUCCUUCAGCUAGACUUCUGUUGGUGUCCUAACACUAUUUGACCACUUGCCUUUGAUGAAAAGAUUCUGCCAAAUGAUAACUCUUGAUUAUA